UACGUUCAAUGUUUCCAAUGAUGAGCAGUUAAUCCACUAAACCCAGAGAUAAUUCCUGAGGCAUGUUUAAAGAGUUUUGUAUUUCAUCAAGUAAGUGCUGAUUCACAAAGAUUUUAUAUUUAAGAAAAUCUGAGCAUCAUUCAAAAUAACUGUUAACAUGUUUGUCAACUAAACAUGUUUUGUCAAUGUUUUUAACUUUAUAGAAAUAUUUUUUAUUAAUGACCAAGUAUAAAGAACAAUGCAUAGUUUGAAAACGCGGAUUAUAUAAAAGUAUAUAAUAAAGUGCGAGCAGAGGAUCAAUCAAACUUGGGCUGGAAUGAUUGUAGUGCAUCCAAUGCAUCUUGGAACUCGUAGUUUACAUCUACAGCAGCAUAUGCUACAGCAGUGACAACGCCAAAGAAAAGGACUACAUUUCCCAGAAUGCACCUGCACCCACUCAUCUGCCCCCACCCUUCAGGUGCGACCGCUCGACCUAUGGGCUUGACGGGAAAAUUCAAAAUCGCGAACCGUUGCAGCCUGGACUACUCGCUGUCUUUGUUUGUUUGCUCAUCAACAGUAAGAGGUCAUGUACACUGUGGUCAACUUUGUGGACGCUGAAGAGGUUUCUGGGUAAAGAUGAUAGAAAUAUAAUGAAGUAACAGUGGAAGCUAAAACAUCAGACUGAUCCAGACACUGAAGAAAUUGAUGUCACUGCAAUCUGGCCAAAAUGAUACAACUAUGUUGAAGUAGCCUACUGUAAUGCAGCUGCAGAACGUCACAGAGACUCUGAGGACAUCAACACAGAAAAUCAAGGCUCCAAGGAGAUGUCUGUCCAGAUGAGGGUGCAUCAACGUUACCUUUGCUGACAAGUAUAUGCUUUUAGCAGUUAACUAAACUCAAACCAUUUAAGGAAAUCGGUUGCCUUAAACCAUUAAGUUUUAAAAAAACAUACAUUUGAGUAAUGUGAACUUAAGUCUUGUGCAAUUAUGCACUUAUAUUUAGGUAGUGUGAACUUAAACAAAUUGAGUCACAUGCAGUUAAGCACUUAUAUUUAAGUUCACAGUACUCAAAUGUAUGUGUUUUAAAACUUGAAUGGUUUAAUGCAACCGGUUUUCU